GGUAAACCGAUGAGUAAGAGAAGUAAAGAUGGCAUACCUGUCCCCAGAGAGCCGCGGCAAGGUGAAAGCGCGGCGGCAGCGGCUGUUUUGAAUGGGCUUACGAGGGCGACCCGAACGAAUUUCCAGUAGGCGUCGACGGCAGGCUGCACCGUUAUCCGGCAGCACCAUUUCGAUUGAGUGGGCUCUGCCUUUGCAGGGUCAAUCUGGGUGGCACCGCAGGAGUAGCAAAGCUCUUGUCCCUGUU
rnacentral:ncRNA from 1 species